AACCACCUAAGACUCUAAAUAUCAAGAAAGGUUGGAUAUUUUUGUGGAGACACUUAAAAUGCUCAGUUUGUCAGUUACCACCAUGAGCUUUCUUCUUCUAGUUUGUAUUAUGUUCGCAUUGACUUGUUCUAUGUGUGUACCAUAUAUAUUUCUUUUUUAAAAAAAUUUAUUCAUUUAUUUGUGAGAGAGAGAAAGAGCAAGAGCAGGGGAAGGGAAGAGGGUGAGGGAGAAGCAGAUUUUCCCUGUUGAUCAGGGAGCCCAACACUGGCUCUGUCCCAGGACCCUGAGAUCAUGACCCAAGCUAAAGGCAGAUACUUAACCGACUGAGCCGCCCAGGCGCCCCUGCAUUUUUCUGAUCUGGGUAGAUAAACCACAUUUAUAGAUUUAAAGAAGAUUGUAUCAGCUGCUGCCGGGAAGUUUUUCCUGAGUCAGUUGAGAACCUGUGAAACUUAACCCUUGACGUUUCACUAGCUGCAGUUUGUAAUAAAAUCAGCUUUCAUCUCAAACAUGGCUGUAUGGUCCUAACAGUACAGUAGAAAGAAAGGGCAAGCCCUAGUCUUCUUUCUGACAUCCCUAAAGUUUAUAUUGUGGCCUUAACUGAAGGACUUCUUGCCUUGGCCAAUAAAAAUCAUUGCAAAUUUUAACACUUGCCUUCAACCAAAAAUAAAAUUACAGGACCUUAUUAUUUUUCCAGUGCUCUUAAAGAUUUAAAAUUUGGUCUGGGGGCUUCCUGAGGGCAUGGACUGUGUCUGAGUCAGUCACCAUUUUACCCACAGGCACUUACUUGGUGCCUGGAGCACCAUAUGGAAAGUGACCAAUGAAUGAAAUGAGUGAAUGAAAGGAAAGAUAGAACCAGAGUCACAUUUUAGUGGCCUACCUGUAUGUUUUCAGGGAAAAUGGCGUAUUUAAAAGGGGACAGAGAUAACACAUCUCUAAAAGGAGAUGAAUGGCAUAUUUAACACUUCCCAAGAAGACAGAAUCCAGCUUCUAUCGCUUGAUCUAGGUCUUUGAUUACAGAGCCACUGAGAAUUCCCCGUGGCUGAAUAUGGAUGAAACUUUAAGGCAAGCUGAAGGCCCGGGCGGCCCUGUGGACAUCAAUACUCCCAUGGAGCACUUUCCAAGAAGAAAAGUGUGGGCUUGCCGGUCUUUUCAUCAAAACUCCUAGAAUCUGGCUGACUGCCUGGUUUAUCCCAGGACAUUAGUCAGCCCACAAAUCCCACAUUUGUUUAUUCAGUCCAGAGCAAGUGAAUACUGCCAUUCUCCCAUCUCCUUUGUUGGCAAAUGCUUUGUUAACCUGAAUUGAGCUCUGCAACACAAAAUGAAGUGACUAAUCUUUUGGGGGGUUUCCCCCUCCCAGAUUCUUGUAUGAGCAACUGAGUCGAUAGGCCACAAAGCCUCAUACUGUCCUUUCCCCUCAUGCUGCCCUUUUAUUCUGAUGGGUCCACAUUGUACUUAAGGAAACCAAUACCUUCCAGAGUGUGGUUGAAGUGGCGCCACCAUUAAGAAAAGGAGGUUACGGGACUUUUUAGUCUUGUGAGAAAAUGUUAGCCAGCAAAGAGGUUGGGUUGAUUAUUUAUACUGGGGCAAUCUACUCCUGGGCACUGGCGAUAGAUGUCACCUCGCUCACCUCGCACGCUCGGAAAUCUUUCUGAUUUGUAAUAUGCGGGUCUGAAAGUGCAGGAAGGAGGAAUUUUAGCACAAACGCCCAGUUUGGAUGAUCACAACAUUACUAUGUGGUGGGUCUGGAAUACAACCUAAAAAGGAGGGAUAUACUUAAUCACUGGGCUGUUUGUCCAUUUGCAAAGAUCUGAAAGGACCUGGACUUUUUAGUGAAAGUAUAAGGAUCUGUAUUUCUGAAUUGCCAUUGACCUUGAAAGAGCGGUUAGUCUGGAAGACAACUGAGGUGGAACGUAGUACGCCAUAGAAGAGGGCAUAAAGGGAAUCAUACUGACGUCCUUGCCAUAAAUCCCAGCCAUUUUUAUGGCAGGUUGCACAUAGAAGCUUGGCAGGUGAUUCUCAUUCAUCGUUAGGCCUAUGGAAAUUCUAUUUGGUUCAUGAAGCUUUGACUGUGUUUCCCAUCGAUAACCUGUUUUUCUCUCUCCUGUUCUUCCAACUCUGGACCAGAGCUACCUUCCAGAUGACUUCUUUCUAACACACUCAUCCUCCCCCGUAUCAGAGAAUUCAAGUACAUGCUGAUGUUGGAAGGAAGAACACUCAAGAAUUGUUGCCCGACCUAUAACCCAAGGCUUAAAUUGGUCUGAAAGAGGCACCGUUGGAGCGUUCUGUGCUCGUCACUACAUCUCUGAGGCAGUGCUGAAGGAAUAGCCACAGAAGGCAGGAGACAUGAAGGAGUCCCAGUGUGUCUGGCUUUGUGCACACAAAUGGAGCCAGCCCUGUGUGUGUGUGAAGGGACUGGGCCUUCCCCAAGCUGUUGGUCAUGAUGCAAGAACAGUUUUUGCCUUCUCUGGAUCCUUGUGGUAAAAUGGCUGCCAAGAUACUUUAGAACAGAACUUGAAAAGUAUGUACCGACCACUGGAACAUGGUAACAAGAGUCCUUUGGUAUUUUUGUGUUGGCUGUGACGAAGCUGGCAUCCGUGUCCCCUUAGGUGAGGAUUCUGAGGUAACAGUGGCUGAUGCAAGCUUGUGACCCCGCUACUUCUAUUCAGAAUACGCUGUGGUGGCGGUGGUGGGGUGCUCUGUAGAUUGGGAAUCCUGCAGGAACAGCAGUUUACAGAUGAGUUCUAGGGGAACUUGUAAGGGAGAAAAAGAAACCAAACACAACGGGGAAUGUUUAACAAUUGAAACCAGUCUUUGCUUGUGUGGUCCUGUGUUUCACCACAUCACUGUGAAAACGGACUGCUGGGAGUAAGACUGAAGUGCUGAUCAUUUAUGAAGCCAAAAACCUGUUGACGGCUCUUUUUAAGGUAUAGGAGAAAAUGGCAAAACUCUCAAAACUCCAGGGAAGUUACUUCAUCGCUCUGAUUACCGCAGGCCACCAGGCUUUUGGGUCACGGGAUCACGCCGGCAUGAUGACCAAAAUAGGAGGGCAGGCUGAGCCAGACUCAGAAACAAUUCCAAAAUGCUCUAGGACUUUCCAGGAGUUCUGGAAAGUCUUUUUAUAUUUAUUUUUAAAUAAAGUAUUUUGGGAGUUU